rnacentral:rRNA from 1 species
GAUGAACGCUGGCGGCGUGCCUAAUACAUGCAAGUCGAGCGAACAGACGAGGAGCUUGCUCCUCUGACGUUAGCGGCGGACGGGUGAGUAACACGUGGAUAACCUACCUAUAAGACUGGGAUAACUUCGGGAAACCGGAGCUAAUACCGGAUAAUAUAUUGAACCGCAUGGUUCAAUAGUGAAAGACGGUUUUGCUGUCACUUAUAGAUGGAUCCGCGCCGCAUUAGCUAGUUGGUAAGGUAACGGCUUACCAAGGCAACGAUGCGUAGCCGACCUGAGAGGGUGGUCGGCCACACUGGAACUGAGGCACGGUCCAGACACCGACGGGAGGCAGCAGUAGGGAAUCUUCCGCGAUGGGCGAAAGCUUGACGGAGCAACGCCGCGUGAGUGAUGAAGGUCUUCGGAUCGUAAAACUCUGUUAUUAGGGAAGAACAAAUGUGUAAGUAACUAGGAACGUCUUGACGGUACCUAAUCAGAAAGCCACGGCUAACUACGUG